UACAAAGCAGCUCUUCGCCGAGAAUCAGAACCGAUUCAAAAAGCGGUAAAGAAGCUAUUUAGUUACUACAACGAUUACUGGAUUGUUGAAGUUGGCGCUGGAACGUUCUCCGUUUACGAUCUAAGUGACCGAACCAACAACUAAAUCAAAAGUUGGCUUCAAUGGUUCAAUUUUCUCUGCCGUGGCCUUCACCUUAACUUCUGGGACUUCUUGAAUUCUCUUAGAGAAGCCGAAAACCAAAAGAGUCGGGACUACUUCUGCGCUGUUAAUGGUGGUGAGACUGGAAGAAGGCGAACCCCUGAGCAUGAGCUUCGAGAUGCUGAAAUAACCAAGAAUGCGAAUGUAUUUACCCAAGGUGACAUCACUCGUCGAGAAUUUCUUGAGCUCAGCUGGAAGUCUAAGACAGCCAUGGCUCUGACUGCCGAACCCCUUCUUCAGGAAAGAGUCCGUUACACAGCAGGAUUCAACCGGCCACCUAGAGAGCCGCACGCUACACUUCCACUUGCCGAGCAUGUAGACGAUGCUGUCGCAACGGAAUACGCAACCUAUCUGACCGAACACGUCGAUCCUAUAGAAUACGCUGAUGUAUCCGAAACCACCGAUGUAUCCGCAACCACCGUUCACCUGAACGACUCGAAUCAUGAACGGUCUUUUUGAUUGCGCCAGCUGCCCAUUCGACUUUCAUCAGAUUACGUGGUCGACGCAAGACCUGUUUGCCGUAUACCAACAGCGGUCGCUUCCACAUCAGCCGGAUCAGUUCGUCGGACACAGACAGCGGUCGCUUCCACAUCAGCCGGAUCAGUUCGCGCACCAGCAGUAGCCAGGGCUCCUACUGCCAGAGCACGAGGAAGGCCUUCCAAAUGCCGCCUUUGCAUAACCAACAACAAGGAUGUCCGCUUUAUCUGCUGUGGUUACCAACUCUGCGAUGGAUGUGCGACCAUCAUUCAAGAAGACAACAGAUGCUGUCCAGAUUGCGCCGACGAAGUCCUUUUCACAGUCAAAAUUUACCAGUAACUUGCCAAUUGAAUUUAUUGUUUGUAUUUGACUUGACUAUA